rnacentral:rRNA from 1 species
AGUCGAGGGGCAGCAUCAUCAAAGCUUGCUUUGAUGGAUGGCGACCGGCGCACGGGUGAGUAACACGUAUCCAACCUGCCGACAACACUGGGAUAGCCUUUCGAAAGAAAGAUUAAUACCGGAUGGCAUAAUUAUUCCGCAUGGGAUAAUUAUUAAAGAAUUUCGGUUGUCGAUGGGGAUGCGUUCCAUUAGGCAGUUGGCGGGGUAACGGCCCACCAAACCUACGAUGGAUAGGGGUUCUGAGAGGAAGGUCCCCCACAUUGGAACUGAGACACGGUCCAAACUCCUACGGGAGGCAGCAGUGAGGAAUAUUGGUCAAUGGACGAGAGUCUGAACCAGCCAAGUAGCGUGAAGGAUGACUGCCCUAUGGGUUGUAAACUUCUUUUAUACGGGAAUAAAGUUAGCCACGUGUGGCUUUUUGUAUGUACCGUAUGAAUAAGGA